rnacentral:lncRNA from 1 species
UACCUGAGAGUAAAUCGGAUCAAGAGCUUGCGGGGACCUUCUCACCCAUGAUUAUGUGUGGGGGGUUGUGGGUAACGACUAAAUCUGAUGUUUGUUAACUUACCCUUUGGUGGUUUGUUAACUCGAGAAGCGAGAAGCGAGGUGGUCUAGUCACAAAGGUUUGAAUGUUGUGUUGUUGCUUGAUGUGAUUUCUAGAAUGCAUGCGUCACAUAU